UUGAACGCUGGCGGCAUGCCUUACACAUGCCAGUCGCACGGUAACAGGUUAAGCUGACGAGUGGCGAACGGGUGAGUAAUAUAUCGGAACGUGCCCAGUCGUGGGGGAUAACUGCUCGAAAGAGCAGCUAAUACCGCAUACGACCUGAGGGUGAAAGCGGGGGAUCGCAAGACCUCGCGCGAUUGGAGCGGCCGAUAUCAGAUUAGGUAGUUGGUGAGGUAAAGGCUCACCAAGCCGACGAUCUGUAGCUGGUCUGAGAGGACGACCAGCCACACUGGGACUGAGACACGGCCCAGACUCCUACGGGAGGCAGCAGUGGGGAAUUUUGGACAAUGGGCGCAAGCCUGAUCCAGCCAUGCCGCGUGCGGGAAGAAGGCCUUCGGGUUGUAAACCGCUUUUGUCAGGGAAGAAAAGGUUCUGGCUAAUACCUGGGACUCAUGACGGUACCUGAAGAAUAAGCACCGGCUAACUACGUG
rnacentral:rRNA from 1 species